rnacentral:lncRNA from 1 species
GCCAUGAACAAUCUAUUUUGAGCCACUUUAGGGAGAAAAACUUUGUAUUUUUAAAACUUGCAUAAAAAUUAUGCAAGUGGUUUUUAUAAAUUGGAAUAAUACCUCAGUUUUGAGGUUAUGCACACUAAAUUAAAUAUGUCAUAAAUUAAUUUGUACAAAAAGAACUCUUUAUAAGGUGGCUCAUUGUAGGAAAUCCUGUGCCUUCCCCUUUGAGCACAAGUGUUGCAUGAACAACAGUUUGCUAUAAGAAACAUACCAGGUUAGCCACCAUUAGCAUCUAUAUCUACUUUGUGUUUAAAAAUCAACUGGUAAUUCUGAAACACUGUAGAAUGGAUAAAAAUUAUUUUGUGAUCAUAACUCUUUGUUGAACUAGAGUAUUUUUGCAGCAUUCCUUGUCAUCAAAAACAUGGUUAAACUUUAAAACUAGAAGCAGCAGAAAACUAGCUUGUAAAAUUUAUUCAAGUAGAGUACAGGCUAGGCUGUCUUGGGGAAAUAAACAUUAAAACUUAAAGCAAUGUUUUACAAGGG